rnacentral:lncRNA from 1 species
UGACAGUUAACAGAGAAUUCAUUGAACUUCAAAAAUAAUUUAUAAUUAUAUGACUGCACUCAUUACAAAACCAAGCUGAACAGAACUCACAUGACUAAAUCCCUGAACAUAUCUAACUCCAAAGCCAGGCUUAUGUUUCCAUGUUCAGCUGUGGUUGCAUGUUACAACUUGUGUUUUUGACAAAUCACUAAACUGUAACUAAACUACUAUACAUGAUCAGCUAUUCUAGGGCAUAUCAAGCUUCGUCUAGCAUCUUCGUUUCCUCUACAGCGCCAUCAUGAAUCUCUUCCUCUUCCACAUCUUCCGCACAGCGCCAUCAUGAAUCUCUUCCUCUUCCACAUCUUCCGCAUCAUGUGGGCCUUUAAUCUGCUUCUAAUCUUAUAUAAACAAACACAAACACAAUUACAUUUUGCAUCCGGGAAAAACAUUCUUAAGUUUGCGGCAGGUUAGUAGAGGGAAGCUUUUGAAUAUCCCAACCAAGAACCUUGCAGAUGACUUCCCCCAGUGCUCUAUGAGCCCGCCUCUUCUUUGUCUUGGCAAUGGUGGUCGAAUGUUGUACAAGAGCCACACAAUCCUUGUACUUCUUCCCCACCUUCUGCCCGAGCCCAGCACACACCAAACAACUAAAUUCACCGCGCUCACAAUUCUUCUCGUAGUAGGACCUCAGUUCACUAUCCUCCGCAAAAACUUCCGAGAAGAAUUUGUACUCUUUGCACUCAUCCUUCUCAUCAUCCAUGCCACCACCACCCUCAUAAUCAUCAUCAUCAUCUGACGAUGAAUCUUCAAUCUCCCCAUCACUAUCCAUCAUCUCCCUAAACAUAUCCGUCGCAGCAUCCAACGCCUUUUGCUGCGCUUUACCAGCAACCAACAGCGCAUUCUCCUCUUCCGUAAGUACCCUCUCAGCAGCAGGCUUCAAAUUCAACUCCGGCCAUCCGACAGUAGGUUCAGGCACUGGAUUACAAGGCCACUCAUUUUCAGAAAUUGCAGGCCACUUUUUAACUUCCUCAUAGCCACCGCCACCGCCCUUCUUCCCCUUCUUUUUCAUAUUUUUCGGUUUCGUCCCCUGAACCCCAAGUGAGAGCCUACUCAGCUUAUUAUUCAAAUUACCAUGUGUCACACUCUCCACAUUACUUUGUAAAUAUGGUUGCACAUUCGACACACGCGGACCGGGAUAACUAUAACCAUUUGAAUCAUAACCCGUCAUAGCACCCACAAUGGAACCAUGACCGUGAUUGAAAAUGUGAGCAUUAUGGACAUAGGCAUUAGGCCUAUGAUCAUGGUUCAAAAUUGGCAUCGAUGGGUCAGAAUUCGUGUAAAAUGAACCGGGUCCGGGGUUGAAACCGGGUCUAUUAUUGAAAUUGCCAGGGUUUGCAAUCGGGUGAAUUGGGUAAACUGAACUGGGGUUAGAAUUGAAAAUGGGGGGCUGGGGGACCCAAUUAGGGUUUAAAACAUGAUGAACUGGGUGAAUUGAAUGGGGAUUAGGAUUGAAAAUUGGACGAUUGGGGAUGAAACUAGGGUUUAUAAUUGGGGGAUUCGGGUUUUGAGUAGGGUGUUGAAGAGGAGGGCCUUGACGAUGGAGAGAAUGGAGAUGCCUCACCUCAUUUAUAAGCUCUUCUUCUGUUAAAUGAGGCAUGGCAAAAUUGAGAAAAUUGAGAAGAUGAAGAUUAGUUGUUUUCUUCAGGUGAGCUCAAUUUCUUUGUUCAUGUUUCUGAAAUGAUGCGACAUGCGUGCUUGUUUAUAUAGGCAGAGAGGAAGAUGAAUCGGGACAGGUUUUAGAAAUUUACCAUUAAUAUGAUAUCUUGAGAUUUGCCAUUAAUGUGAUAUUUUCGAGAUUUUUAGUUGAUGAAUAUUAUAUUCGAUUUAGAUUAUAUGUAUAAUCUCAGAGAUAUUACUCUCUCCGUCCCUUUUUAUCUGUCUUAUUUUGAAGAAAAAAAAACAUACCAAGAAAUAAUUGAUUGUAUAAACUUUUUCAUUAAAUAUCUCUAAUUAAUAUCUUGAAAAUGGUGGAAUACUCCUACUUUAUGUCUUGAAAACAUGAAUUUAACCAAAUUUUAAAUAAGUCAAGCCUUGAAAAUUGAAAUUAUGAAGAUAUAUUUGAAAAACUAUCAUUAAAUUAGUUUUGAAAGUAUAAAUGGACAGAUAAAUAGGGACAAAUUUUUACUUCCAAAAAUAGGGACGGAGGGAGUAGAUCACAUGGUCAAAAUAUGUAAUUCACAAAUUUAUUUUUGUAAUUAAUUUAGAAAAUAUAAAUAUAAUAAAGUUAAAGUUUUGAUGUACGACAUCAAAAUUUUAGGAAAUAUACCAUUGAAAUUCUAAAUUUAUAUUAUUUAUAAAAUUAUUGACAUUUGGAGAGCAUUUAGAAUUUUAGAAAUAUAUAAAAAAGUUACAUAGCCAUUUAGUAUUUAAACUAUUAUUAAUGAUAUUAUAAUAUAUAGUUAAGAUGUUAUAUUAUCCAUCUCCUAAACAAAUGAUAUCAUAUUUUCAUUGAAAAUAUUCUAUGAAUUUAGGAUGUAUAUAUUCUUAGAUUCUUAAAAAAAAUAUAAUUUUUACAUAUUCAGUUAAUAUCAUAAAUUACUUUUUUUUAAAGAGAAUGAGAUAAUUUCAUAAAUAAUAGUUAUAGGGCAUUAUAAGAACCAUCGAGUCAAACAAACAUAAAAUAUUACCAUACCAGUCUUCAUACUCAAGAUGAGACAAAUAAGACUUUUAAAAAUAAUUUUAUGAUAUUAAUCGAAUAGAUAUUCAGUUAAUAUCAUAGAUUACUUUUAAAAAUCUUUUUUUUUGCCAACAUAAACUUUUAAAAGUCUUUUAGUGCUGUCAUGAUUUUGAAUUAUUAUUAACAAUCCGAUGUGGAGUUAAAGAAAAAAAAACACAAACGUACAUGUAUAUUUUCAUUUCUAUACUAGAUGUAUAUUGAGAAUUUGUAAUAAUAUUAAUUCAAAAUUUAAAUUUAUUAUAAAUAAGUUAAUAUCUACAAUUAUAAAUCAUAAUCUUGUGUUUUGUAAUUGUAAUUGUUCAAAUUUAGCCUACGUUAAGUCACUAAAUUUUGAAACGUCUUUUUCGUAUUUCAUAAUAUAAUGAACAAAUUUAAAAAUAUUUAUUUAUGUAUAUUAUAUUUUCAGAAUUCUUUUCAAAUCAAAAGAGAUAAUUUAACGUUUUGUACUCUUUUGUCUAGUGAACAUGAUGUGUGACUGUAUGACGUGUUACAUGGACCGCACAAUUGUUUUAAUUGGGCCUCCUCUAAAUUGAAACGACUAAAUCUAUGGGUCCAAGAUAAGGCCCUAUCAUCUUCGGUUGUUAAACUAAAAGGAAACUCGGUCCACUUGGACCAAUUUAAACCAGGAUGGACUGGGCUAUAGUUUAAAUUGUUUUUUCAAUUUUCAAGUGAAAUAUAAAAUUAAUAAAAUUAUUUAUGAAAAUAAAAGUUUAAAAAUAAUGAUUAUAAUGAUACAGUUAAAAUGUUUAAAAUUUUGUAUCAAAACAUCAAACAACUUGUAUUUCAAAAUAACAGAGAGAGUAUUUUACUAAAUUUAUCAAUUUGAUAGAUAAAAGAUUAAAAUAUAUCAUAUGUCACAAUUUGCAUGAAAAGAGAAUAAAUUAUUUAAAUGAAACUCAUCAAAAUACUAAAUUAAAUAAAUAAAUUUAUAUGUCAUACAUUAUUAGAUUAAAACUUAUAUAUCUAUAACUUUUUAUUUCAAAAAGAAUGAUAUAUGAAAUUAUUUUAAAAUUUAUAUUAACCUAAUGUAAAAUAUACUCACUCACUCACUCCUCACUUGUUUAUUAUAUUGGGGUUCAUAAAAUAUAGUUUAAUUAAUUAUUUUAACUUAUUUUUUUUGUUCUGUAUAAAAAUUUAAUGUUUAAAUUUUUAUUAAAUAACAAGGCGAAAGCAUACAACUAUACAAAUGGCUUUCAUUUUGCAUGCAAGCAAAUUAGUUCCCAAAUCAUAAGUGACAAGUCUCUACAGAGAACUUCAAGAUCGGACAGUUCUUGUACAAGUAGAAAUCAGGAACACCUGGGAGAAUUAUAUGUUUGCUGAAUGCCGAAAUUCGAAUGGAACUGCAGCUCCCAGAUCUGAAGAAUUAAAAUUUAUUGUUAAAGUAUAAGAUCCAUAAAGGGCCUCCUCUAACAAAUGGUUCUCUACAUGGUAUGAGAGCUCUGGUUUGGUAGGAGGUCUCGGGUUCGAGCCCCUGCCACCCCUAAUAUUCUCACAAUUUAAGAUGGACACGAAUGAGGGAGGGAAUGGUUCUCAAUAGGGCUGCACAUGGGCUGGGUUGGGUCGGUUUCGGCCAUUCAAGCGACCCAACCCAUUUAGUGCGGGUUAGAAAAAUUUAACCCAUUAAUCAUAAAAAGAAUUAGAAACCCAACCCUACUAAUUGUAUGACGGGUUGGGUUGGUUAGGGUAGGGUUGAUCGGGUUGAAAAAUUUGCAAGAUAAGCAUAAUCCAAAAUAUGUUUUGCACCAUUUUGUUGUAUACAAUUAGCAAUAACAUAAGACACUGCACCAAUACAAAAUAUCAGGUGCUUUUAGAGUGCAGAUAUUCUCUUCCUACUAAGAUGGACAGCUGAAUCUUAAUACACUGAUAACUAUUAAAAAUCAUGUUUCCGCCAUGAUAUAUAAUCAUAAGAACUAGCGAUGUGAGUCGUUUGAUUUGAACUAUAAAGCUUUAUUUCUAAUUGUUUCUGCACACUGCACUACACUCACCGCACAUUCUAUCAUCAAAUAAGUAAAUAUAAUUCCGUAAGCAACCAAAAAUAUUCUACUUCCUCCGUCUCUUAUUACUUUUCCUGUCUCUCUCUAGCACGUUUGUCAAUACACACUUUUGAUCCUUAAUAUCAUUAAUUUUGUAUUAGUAUUAAAUAUAAAAACUUCAUUGUAUUAAAGUACUCGUGAAUACGAAUCCAACAAGAUCACUCACGACUAUAUUUAGUCUUAUAGAUUAGACGUAAAUUAGUAAUUAGUCUCAUGUUAUGAACAGUCCCGACAUAUCAAACGAGAAAAGAAUAAAGAAACGGAGGGAGUAUCAGAGUGUUAAAGAUAUAUUUUGAUCGGGUUGGGUUGGUUUAGGGUUUUUAAAAGUCAUAUUUCGACCCAACCCAUUAUAAACGGCUCAACCAAAAAUCAAUCCAAUUAACCCACGGUUUGGAAUGGGUCGGGUUAGUCGGCCUAGUUCAAGGUUGGGUUGGGUUGGUUUGAACGGGUUGGACAACCCAUGAGCAGCCCUAGUUCUCAACAUGCCCCAUUAUGAUCUUAUACUUUAACAUUUAUCAACAAAAUUGUCAGAAUCUGCUGUUUUUGGACAUCGUUUUUGCUGAAUUUAGUGGGUUAAUUGCAUGUGAGCGAUAUUGCAACUUAUGUUGCAUCGGUGGAUAACUUUCACUCUUUCAGCCAGUUACAACAUCAGACUGAAGCCAGCGAGGAGGGCAAGGCCAAGAUGAACCCGUUCUCCCUGCUAUUUAGAAUAGUAUAAGGGGAUGAUACUAUAAAGAUGUAUUUCAGGUAACAGGGCCGUCUGUGAGAAUUUUGGGGCCCUGUGCUAAAAUAUUAAUUAUGCCCCAAAUAAUAAAAAAAAUAUGUAUAUUAUAAAAGUAAAUAAAUAAUCAAAAUAUUAUUUUUUUAUAAAAUUAAAACAAGUCACUUAAAAUAAGAUAAAUAAUGUUAUUAAAUAAUCAGUAAUUCUAAGUAUUUUAAACAAAAUUUAUAUAUGAAUUUAUUUGAGAUAUAUCUAUAUUUCAUUGAUUUAUAGUACAUAUGAAAAAAUAUCAUAUGUAAAAAAUAUUAUGAAAACAUUUAAUAAAAGAGUAAUUAUUAUAAAAAAAGUAAAGAUACAACACAAAAGAAUUUAAAAUGCAAAUAGACAUAAUAAACUAAUCUAUCAGAUUAUGUAAUUAUUUAUCUAUAAAUAAAUAGAAUGAAAAUAAAUAUAAAAUUUUUAAUUUUCAAUUUCAUUCUCUAAAUUUUUUUAUUAAAUAAAACAUUAAUUUCUAAAUUUUGAGGCCCCUAUAGCUUUGGGGCCCUGUGCCGUCGCCCACCUUGCACGUCUCAAAAACCGGCACUGUCAGGUAACCAUUGUCGCUGUUUCAUGCAUUUGCUAUUUGCCUAACCAAUUUCCUUGUAACUGUUGAUUGCUAAUACAAACUUGUGUGGUCACAGCUUAGUUUUAUCCUUCAGAGGAACUCAACACUUUUUUGCUUGUCUUCUUUUGCUCUAAUGUAUACAUUAUAUUGUGACAACUGCUUUGUGUGAAUGCAGAUUGUGACAUGAGUACGAAAUUAGUGCCUGCUGAUCUUAAAUAAAUUUCUGCCUAGUUUUUGCUUAGAAUGGAAACGUCGGCUAUGACAAACAACGUAUGAAAUUAAAAUGGGAUAUCGGGACUCUUUUGAACUUUUAAACUGUACUGGAUUACUAGAAAAGCUCCAUCAGGCGAACACAGAAAUUCUGCAGAAAACUACCACUCCAGUAAGACUGGUACCAGAGCCUUUCUCUUGUAAAGCUGAUCCAAACAUAAAGGUUUGAGACUCGGGCUGAAAAUUCAUUUAGACUUGCAAAUUUCAGAGAGGAGCUCAAAUUCUUCAUUCAAGAUGAUCCAUUUUACCAACCUAACCGCCAAUUUAAAUCACCCUUAUUUUCCUUUUCUAGCCUUGUCAUUUUUAUUUAAAAUUAGAAGGGAAAUUUUUUAUUUAUUAAAUAUGUUCUAUCCAAUACACACCUUAUUCUUCUAGCUUUGAUAUGAUGAUAUCGCAUUUAAAGAAUAAAAAUUACUGCAUAUAACAGGUGCAACAUAGUAUCAAAGUGACUUUUGCACAAACCAGACCACAAAUUAACUGUCCAGGUUAUAGGCAAAUAAGCGUUCAGCCGUGGUUGCAAGUUACACUGAGCAUCUUCGAGCAGAUAUCAAGCUUCGUGAUUUGAUAUUCUAGUGCACAUCAAAGCUUUGUCUAGCAUCUUCAUUACCAAAUCUCUUCAUUCUUUCUAUCUGUAAGAUUCCUACACCAGCCAUAAUCCAAAAUUUAAUACUAAGAUAUCAUACUUAUUGUAAUUAAAAGAUCUACUCCCUCCGUCCCGGCCAAUUCUUUACGUUUGGUUUGGGCACGGAGGUUAAGAAAUAUGUAUAAAGUAGUAGGAAAGAGAAAGAAAAGUGAGUGAAGUGCCGGGACCCAUUAAUUUUUAAUGUAUAAAAGAGAGUUAGUGGAAUAAAAGUAGUGUGAAAAGGAAGUAAAAGUAGUGUGAAAAGGGAGGAAAAGUUGGGAAGUGGUAGGACCCAUUUACUAUUUUUGGUAAGUUUUGAAAUGUAAAGAAUUGGAUGGGACAUCCCAAAGAGGAAACUGUAAAGAAUCUGCUGGGACGGAGGGAGUACUACCUAUGUAAUUAAAAUGGGAAAAAACAACAUUAGAAGUCCCCAUAUGUUACAAGCAAAAGGUCAAAAGCUCCUGGCAGUGACAAACAAAUAUAAAGAACAAAAUACAUACGUGUGCAUCAUCAAGAUUCUAUGUGUUCUCAAUGUAAUGCAUCUACAGAUUAGUGUACAUAAUUAAAUCCUUAAAACACAAGCCACGGGGAACUGAAUGGAGAGAAACAUGUUCUUACUUUAAGGAAUCAAAGGUGAUAAAUUACCAGUCCCGCAUUUGACAUUCUUGAAUUACAAAAACUGCAUAUAAAUUACCUCAACAAACCAUUGAUUCAGGACCAACAUUAUUUGUAAAGCUCACAGCAGUCGCAGCUAAAACUUCACUAGCACUGUCGGUCGCAAUUUGGGCCAUCAACCUGCAUGCCUGUUUGUUUCAUAGAAGCAGAAUCUGCUUCCGGCUUCUGCUUCUUUUGACCCGUUUGUGUAAAUAAGCGGAAGCACUUUUAAGAAGCUGAGAAUGCUAGCUUCUCUCUCACAGCUUCUACUUCUUUUCCAAACACUUUAUUAACUUAUUUACUUCUCACUUCUACUUCACUUCUUUAGUUUAAGCAAGAAAUCAUUUCUUUUAAGCUAACCUAAACGGGUGCGCAUUACCAAUCAUAUAUCAAACAAUUUCUUAAUUACCUUUAUAUUACAGAUUUACGGCAGGUUAAUAAUAGAUGACAGCUUUUGAAUAUCCCAACCAAGCACCUUGCAAAUGACUUCUCUCACUGCUUUGUGAGCCUGCCUCUUCUUUGUCUUGGCUAUGAUGGUCGCAUGCUGUACAAGAGCCACACAAUCCUUGUACUUCUUCCCCGCCUUCUGCCCGAGCCCAGCACACACAAAACAACUAAUCACACCGCUCUCACAAUUCUUCUUGUAAUAAGACCUCAGUUCACUAUCUUCCGCAAAAACUUUCGAGGAGAACUUGUACGAGUUAUUGAGUUUCUGCGAGUAAACUCAAGCUUAAUUAUUUUUGUUAUGCUAUUUUCACAAAUUUUUUUUGUAUUAUAUUCGAGUUUAAAUUUGAAGACAUGUCUUAAUAUUUUAAAAUCAUCGAUCUACAUAUUAAUCCAUUUAAAUCCCCGCAGUUUACUAUAUUUCUCCUUUUUAUUUUUUUGUCAAUUUUAUUUUAAGACUUUGUUAGUAGGACUUAAAUAAUAACUCUUUUGUACAACUAAUAGUAAAUUUAUUAAAUUUUAAAUAUAAUCAUAACAUUACAAAACCAAGCUGAACGGAAAUGACUAAAUCCUGAACAUAUCUAAGUACAAAACCAAGCUUAUGUUUCCAUGUUCAGUUGUGAUUGCAUGUUACAACUUGUGUUUUUGACAAAUCAGUAAACUGUACCUAAACUAUUAUACAUGAUCAGCUAUUCUAGGGCGUAUCAAGCUUCGUAUAGCAUCUUGGUUUCUUCCUCUUCCACAACUUCCGCAUCACGUGGGCCUUUAACCUGCUUCUAAUGAUUAAAAUUUUAUUCAAAUGUUCAUAACUCAGAAUCUGAAAACAUUCGAUCCAAAUCUCAAAUCAAACAGGACCCUAUCAAAAAUUCAAUCCUCCCCCAUGCUCUUGCGGAGCUUCCUGAGCAGCUAAAUGUUCUCUUAAAGCUACUUUCGCAUUCUCAAGAGCACAAACCAAACCAUAUAAGCAACGCUCACCAUCAUCUUCGGGAGAUUUGGGGAUCAAAUACUCCACAACUUGAGCAGGGGUCACGGCAACUUCUCCCAGCAGCUGUUCGAUCCUCACAAACAGUUCAUUAAAUCUGAUAUUCAGAUACUUAUUAGCGAGCACCUUGAAUACCUCGAACGAACAAUACGACAUCAGGAUGUGCUUGUCCAUUCGCCCUGUUCGAAUCAACGCCCGAUCAAGCAUCUUCCCCACCUUCUGCCCGAGCCCAGCACACACCAAACAACUGAAUUCACCGCUCUCACAAUUCUUCUCAUAAUAAUUUGUAAUCUUUACACUAUCCUCAGCAAAAACUUUCGAGAAGAAUUUGUACUCUCUGCACUCAUUCUUAUAAUUAGGGUUUAAAACAUGAUGAACUUGGUAAAUUGAACGGGGAUUAGGAUUGAAAAUUGGGCGAUGGGGGAUGAAACUAGGGUUUAUAAUUGGGGGAUUCGGGUUUUGAAUAGGGUUCGGAAGAGGAGGGCCUUUUAAACGAGGCAUCAAAAAUUGAGAAGAUAGAAGAUAAUUUUUUUCUUAGGUAAGCUCAAGCUUUUGUGUUUGAUGUUUUCUCAAACUAUGCAUGCUUGUUUAUAUAGAUAGCGAGAGAGAUGAACCUGGACAGUUUUUAAAAAUUUACAAUUAAUAUGAUAUCUUCAGAUAUUAUCAGAUUUUAUUCGAUUUAGAUUAUAUGUAAUAUCUUCCAGAUAUUGUAGAUCAUAAUUUAUUAUCGAAGAUAUCAUCAGAUCAUAUUCCAGAUAUUAUCAGAUUAUAUGAUCAAAAUAUGUAAUUCAUAAAUUUAUUUUUAAUUUAGAAAAUAUAAAUAAAAUAAGUUAAAAUUUUUGAAGUACGACGUCAAAAUUUAUAAAAUUAUUGACAUUUAGAGAGAGAGCAUUUAAAAUUUUAAGAAAUAUAAAAAGAUGACAUAUCCAUUUAGUAUUUUAAAUUAAUUUCGAUAAGAUUUUGAUAUUUAGCUAAAAUAUCGAAUUAUCUUUAAAAAAUAUGAUAUAAAUACUUUUUUUGAAAAUAUUGUACAGAUUUUGGAAUAUAUAUAUUUAAUUUAAAUUCUUAAAAAUAUGUGAUUUUGAGAUCUCAAAAAUUAUUUUUAAAAGUCUAUUAUCACUCACCAUCAUUUUAAAUUUUUAUUAAAAAUCCGAUAUCGAGUUAAAGAAACACACAUUAUAUAUAUNNNNNNAUAUAUAUAUAUAUAUAUUCAUCUUCUUAAAUUAGAAAUAUAUUUUAGAAUUUAUUAUAAAUCAUCUUUAAAAAUUUUGUGGUAUGUAAUUGUAAUUAUUUAAAUUUGACUCGUGUUAAAUCACUUAAUUUUGAACAGUCUUUUUUUUGUAUUUCUAAACAAAUUUAAAAAUAUUUAUUUAUGUAUAUUAUAUUUUCAGAAUUCUCUUCAAAUCAAAAGAGAUAAUAUAAAUUUUGUACCUUUGUCUACCGAACAUGAUGUGACGAUGUGUGACCUAUUAGAUGUGUAUGGCGUGUUACAUGGACCGCACAAAUUUUAAUUUGGGCCUGCUCUAAAAUUGAAAAGGACUACUUUUUUCCUGAAAAAUACGUGAUCAUAAUUGUGCACAAAAUUUUGUACGUAUAUAAUGACACAUAUGGUGAGUUUUAAUUGGAAUGAUUGUCAUGUCCAAAUUUUCUGUACAAGCACCUAAACUUAACUAGUUUUGAUGAUUAGGAGAUUCAUUAAAAACCAUAGAUAUUCCAAUACAAGCAACGGCACCUAUCCACCUAGUACCCUGCAUAACCUAAACUUAACUAGCUGGAAUAAAACUGAUACUAAGAAAGAAGAUAGUUGUUAUGGAACCAUGCAGUCAGCGAGCAUGCUAGCAGCUUCAAACUUUUCCCACUCUGCUUGAACGUCAGCCACGUCCAUCAAAUCCUCUUCAAACUCUAGAGGCUCAUCUUUAGAGCCUUAGCGAGACCCAGCGGACUCCGAAUUCUUCUCGUGAUUUGACCUGAUCACAAUAAGCGCCUCUAGGUUAUCAGUUUCAAAAUGAAUCUUCUUGCGGUACUCCCCUCUUGGAGCACUCUACUGUUGCCAUUUGAAUGCCCCAUAAUACAGCCUGGGUAUGAGUCAUUCCAUGAAACGGACUAAAUCUUCAAUUGUUAAACUACAAAGAAACUCGGUCCACUUGGACAACUUCAAAUCAGGAUGGGACUGGAUUAUGGUUAAAAUUAUUAUUUUUAAUUUGUUAACAAAAAUAUAAAUUAAAAUUAUUAACAAUCUGAUAUGGAGUUAGAGAAAAAAAAACCACAAACGUAGUACAUGUAUAUUUUUAUUUCGAAACUAGAUAUAUAUUGAGAAUUUGUAAUAAAUAAGUAAAUAUCUACAAUUAUAAAUCAUAAUCUUGUGUUUUGUGAUUGAAAUUAUUCAAAUUUAGCCUACGUUAAAGUCCCUAAAUUUUGAAACGUCUUUUUCAUAUUUCAUAAUAUAAUGAACAAUUUAAAAAUAUUUGUUUAUGUAUAAUAUAUUUUCAGAAUUCUCUUCAAUCAGAAAAGAUAAUUUAACUUUUUGUACUCUUUUGUCUGGUGAACAUGAUGUGUGACCCUAUGACGUGUUACACCACAAUUGUUUCAAUCUGGGCCUCCUCUAAUCUAUCGGUCCAAGAUAAGGUCCUAUCAAACAAAUCUAUGCCUUCUUCGUUUGUUAAACUAAAAGGAAACUCGGUCCACUAGAACCAGGAUGGACUGGGCUAUAGUUUGUUUUUUUUGAAAGAGACCGGGCUAUAGUUAAAAUUAUUAUUUUUAAGUAAAAUAUAAAAUUAAUAAAAUUAUUUAUGAAAAUAAAAUUUAUAAAAAUAAUAAUUAUAAUGAUAUAGUCAAAAUGUUUAAAAUUAUGUAUCAAAACGUCGAAUAACUUAUAUUUCAAAUUAACGGAGAGAGUAUUUUACUACUUAAUUUACCAAUUUGAUAGAUAAAAGAUUAAAAUAUAUCAUGUCACAAUUUGCAUGAAAAGUGAAUAAAUUAUUUAAAUGAAACUCAUCAAAACACUAGAUUAAAUAAAUAAAUUUAUAUGUCAUACAUUAUUAGAUUAAAACUUAUAUAUCUAUAACUUUUUAUUUCAGAAAGAAUGAUAUAUAAAAUUAUUUUAAAAUUUAUAUUAACCUAAUGUAAAAUAUACUCACUCACUCCUCCUCAAUUGUUUAUACUGGGGGUCAUAAAAUAUAAUUUAAUUAAUUGUUUUAAAUUUUUUUUUAUGUAUAAAAAUUUAAUUUUUAAAUUUGUUAUAUAUAACAAGCCUCAUCUGCGAAAGCGUACAACUAUACAAGUGGCUUUCAUUAUGCAUGCAAGCAAAUAAGUUCCCAAAUCAUAAGACAAGUCUCUACAGAGAACUUCAAGAUCGGACAGUUCUUGUACAAGUAGAAAUCAGGAACACCUGGGAGAAUUAUAUGUUUGCUGAAUGCCGAAAUUCGAAUGGAACUGCAGCUCCCAGACCUGAAGAAUUAAAAUUUAUUAACAAAAAUGUCAGAAUAUGCUGUUUUUGGACAUUGUUUUUGCUGAAUUUAGUGGGUUAAUUGCAUGUGAGCGAUAUUGCAGCUUAUGUUGCAUAGGUGGAUAAGUUUCAGCUAGUUACAACAUCAGAUUGAAGCCAUCCAGGAGGGCAAGGCCAAGAGGAACUAUUGUAGGUGUUUCAAGCAUUUGUUAUUUGUCUAACCAAUUUCCUUGCAACUGUUGAUUGCUAAUACAAAUUUGUGUGGACACAGGUUAGUUUUAUCCUUCAGAAGAACUCAACUCUUUUACCUGUCUUCUUUUGCUCUAAUGUAUACAUUAUAUUGUGACAACUGUUUUGUGUGAAUGCAGAUUGUGACAUGAGUACGAAACUAGUGCCUGCUGAUCUUAAAUGGAUUUCUGCCUAGUUUUUUCUUAGAAUGGAAACUUCGGCUAUGUCAAACAACGUAUAAAAUUAAAAUGGGAUAUCUGGACUCUUUUGAACUUUUAAACUGUACUGGAUUACUAGAGAAAAGCUCCAUCAGGUGAACACAGAAAUUCUGCAGAAAACUACCACUCCAGUAGGACUAGUACCAGAGCCUUUUUCUUGUAAAGCUGAUCCAAACAACAUAAAGGUUUGAGACUCGGGCUGAAAAUUCAUUUAGACUUGCAAAUUUCAGGGAGCUCAAAUUCUUCAUUCAAGAUGAUCCAUUUUACCAACCUAGCUAACCGCCAAUUUAAAUCACCCUUAUAUUCCUUUUCUAGCUUUGUCAUUUUUAUUUAAAAUUUGGAAGGAAAAAAUGAUUCAAUAUUAAAUAUGUUCUAUCCAAUACACACCUUAUUCUGCUAGCUUUGAUAUCGCAUUUAAAGAAUAAAAAUUACUGCAUAUAACAGGUGCAACAUAGUACUAAACUGACUUGUGGACAAACCAAACCACAAAUUAACUGUCCUGCAGGUUAUAGGCAAAUAACCGUUCAGCCGUGGUUGUAAGUUACGACUUGCGUUUCAGAUAGAUCAGUACACUGAACAUCUUCCAGCGGAUAUCAAGCUUCGUGAUUUGAUAUUCUGGUGCACAUCAAAGCUUUAUCUAGCAUCUUCAUUACCAAAUCUCUUCAUUCUUUCUAUCUGCAGCCAUAACCCAAAACUUAAUACUAAGAUAUCAUACUUAUUGUAAUCAAAAUAUCUACUACCUAUGUAAUUUAAAUGGGAAAAAACAACAUUAGAAGUCCCCAUAUGUUACAAGCAAAAGGUCAAAAGCUCCUGGCAAUGACAAACAAAUAUAAAGAACAAUAUACAUACGUGUGGAUCAUCAAGAUUCUAUGUGUUCUCAAUGUAAUGCAUCUACAGAUUAGUGUACAUAAUUAAAAUCUUAAAACACAAGCCACAGGGGACUGAAUGGGAGAGAAACAAGUUCUUACUUUAUAAGGAAUCAAAGGUGAUAAAUUACCAGUCCCGCAUUUGACAUUCUUGAUGAAUUACAAAAACUGCAUAUAAUUACCAUUUGUAAAGCUCACAGCAGUCGCAGCUGAAACUUCACUAGCACUGUCGGUCGCAAUUUGGGCCAUCAACCUGCAUUUCCAAUCCUAUAUCAAACAAUUUUUUAAUUACCUUUAUAUCACAGGUUUACGGCAGGUUAAUAGAUGGCAACUUUUGAAUAUCCCAACUUUCUUAGUUACCUUGCAAAUGACUUCUCCCACUGCUUUACGAGCAUGCCUCUUCUUUGUCUUGGUUAUGGUGGUCGCAUGCUGUACAAGAGCCACACAAUCCUUGUACUUCUUCCCCGCCUUCUGCCCCAGCCCAGCACACACGCAAAACAACUGAAUUCACCGCUCUCACAAUUCUUCUCGUAUUAAGACCUCAGCUCACUAUCCUCCGCAAAAACUUUCUAGGAGAACUUGUACGAGUUAUUGAGUUUGUGUAGAGUGAUUUGGACUAAAAAAAUCAUAGAAAACUGAUCCGAUUUGAUCAUUAGGUCGGAUGUCGUCAGUCUAUGGACUCCCCAGAUCAUGUUCUUUGUUUUCCCAUCGGGUUAACAAAAUGUUAAAUAUAACAAAAUGAGGUACAAUUCAAUACAAAUUAGAUAAUGUUGGUGACUAAAAAAAUAACGGUUAAAUUUAGUGGUAAUUUUGAAAACAAAAUAGUGGAGUGAUGAAAAAUUGAUUUUCCCUAAAAAUAUAUAAACUUUUUUUUAAAAAUUAAGCCUUGAUUUAUGGACUUUUUGGGCCCAGUUGUUUCUGCGAGUAAACUCAAGCUUAUUCUUGUUCUGUCGUGAAACUAUUAACUAUGCAUGCUUGUUUGUGUAGGCAGUCGCUGGAUGAAUCACAACACUUUUGUGGAAAAUUUACUAACAUAUCCGAUAUUUUCACAGAAUUUUUUUUGUAUUAUAUUCGAGUUUAGAUUUGUAGACUAUGUCUUAAUAUUUUAAAAUCAUCAAUCUACAUAUUAAUCCAUUAAAUCCCCGCAGUUUACACUAUAUUUCUCCCUUUUAUUUUUUUGUCAAUUUUAUUUUAAAACUUUGUUAAUAGAACUUAAAUAAUAUCUCCUUUGUACAACUAAUAGUAAAUUCGUUAAAUUUUAAAUAUAAUUAUAACAUUACAAAACCAAGCUGAACCAAAAUGACUAAUUCCCUGAACAUAUCUAACUACAAAACCAAGCUUAUGUUUCCAUAUUCAGCUGUGAUUGCAUGUUACAACUUGUGUUUUUGACAAAUCAGUAAACUGUAGUAACUAAACUAUUAUACAUGAUCAGCUAUUCUAGGGCGUAUCAAGCUUCGUCUAGCAUCUUGGUUUCUUCCUCUUCCACAACUUCCGCAUCACGUGGGCCUUUAACCUGCUUCUAAUCUUAUGCAAAAUGAUUAAAAUUUUAUUCAAACUCCAACAACUCCAGAAUCAUAUAAGCAAUGCUCACCAUCAUCCUCCGCAGAUUUGGGGAUCAAAUACUCCACAACUUGAGCAGGCGUCACGGCAACUUCUCCCAGCAGCUGUUCGAUCCUCACAAACAGUUCAUGAAAUCUGAUAUUCAGAUACUUAUUAGCAAGCACCUUGAAUACCUCGAACGAACAAUACGACAUCAAGAUGUGCUUGUCCAUUCGCCUUGUUCGGAUCAACGCGGGAUCCACCUUCUCAAUGUAAUUAGUAGUGAAAACAAAGAUCCUUUCACUUCCACAGGCUGACCAAAGGCCAUCAAUGAAAUUUAAGAGCCCGGAUAAAGUGACUUUGCUCGUCUUUUUAUCCUUUCCUUCAUUCGUCACGGCCUUCUUGAACCUGUCCCUCGCAUUGCUGCUCUCGGCCUCUUUCUUCUCCUCGUUCCUCUGCCCUGUGAGAUCGAGAGAACAGUCAAUGUCCUCGAUCACAAUUAUCGAUUUGCCGGUUGUAUUUAUUAGUAACUUUCUCAAUUCCGUGUUGUUCUCGACUGAUGUCAGCUCGAGAUCAUACACAUCAUACUCCAACAAAUUAGCCAUUGCGGCAACCAUUGUAGAUUUUCCAGUUCCAGGAGGCCUGUGGAGAAGGUAUCCCCGCUUCCAGGCCCGGCCUACAUUUCCGUAAAAAUCCUUGGCCUUGCUGAAUGUGAGCAGAUCAUUGACGAUCUCCUCCUUCAAUCCCGGCUCCAAUGCAAGCGUCUCGAAUGUAGCUGGAUGCACAAACGCGACAUGAGUCCACACAGAUCCCGCAUACCCCUCCUCCUUGUUGUUCGUGAACAGCUUUCGAGUCCGGUUCCCCACCUCGAACGAACAAUAUGACAUCAGGAUGUGCUUGUCCAUUCGCCCUGUUCGAAUCAACGCCCGAUCAAGCAUCUUCCCCACCUUCUGCCCGAGCCCAGCACACACCAAACAACUGAAUUCACUGCUCUCACAAUUCUUCUCAUAAUAAUUUGUAAUCUUUACACUAUCCUCCGCAAAAACUUUGCACUCAUUCUUAUAAUUAGGGUUUAAAACAUGAUGAACUGGGUAAAUUGAAUGAGGAUUAGAAUUGAAAAUUGGGCGAUGGGGGAUGAAACUAGGGUUUAUAAUUGGGGGAUUUGAGUUUUGAAUAGGAUUCGGAAGAGGAGGGCUUUGAUGAUGGAGAGAAUGCAGGUGCCUCACUGUUAAACGAGGCAUCACAAAUUGAGAAGAUGAAAUAUUUUUCUACGGUAAGCUUGAGCUUUUCUGUUUGAUGUUUUCUCCGACUAUGCAUGCUUGUUUAUAUAGAUAGGGAGGGAGAUGAACCUGGACAAUUUUUAAAAAUUACAAUUAAUAUGAUAUCUUCAGAUAUUAUCAGAUUUUAUUCAAUGUAGAUUAUAUAUAGUAUCUUCCAGAUAUUAUCUGAUCAUAAUAUCUUCUAGAUAUUAUCCGAUCAUAUGAUCAAAAUAUAUAAUUCAUAAAUUUAUUUUUAAUUUAGAAAAUAUAAAUAAAAUCAAGCUAAAGUUUUUUAGGUACGGCGUCAAAAUUGUAAAAUUUUAAAAAGCGUUAUCAAAAUAUUAAAUUUAUAUUAUUUAUAAAUUAUUGACAUUUAGAGAGCAUUUAAAAUUUUAAGAAAUAUAAAAAGGGUGACAUAGUCAUUUAGUAUUUUAAAUCAGUUUCGAUAAUUUUUAUGAUAUUUAAUUAAGAUAUCAAAUUAUUUUCUAAAAAAAUGAUAUCAUAUUUUUUUGAAAAUAUUGUACGGAUUUGGGAGUAUAUGUAUUCAAUUUGAAUUCUUAAAAAUAUAUAAUUUUUAGAUCUCAAAAAUUAUUUUAAGAGUCUAUCACCCCACCAUCAUUUUAAAUUAUUAUUAAAAAUCCGAUAUCAAGUUAGAGAAACACACAUAAUAUAUAUAUAUAUAUAUAUAUAUAUAGGGUCUUGCUCAAAUGAGAACCACUCUUAUGGUGAGAUAUGAGAUCUAAUCUCAGCCACUCAUUUAAAUACAUUAUAUUCAUCUCCCACUAUUCAUUUAAUAUUUUAUUAUUUCAUCAUUUUUUAAUUCAACUACCCAAUCACUUUCAACCACUGCUGACCACCACCACCAUCUCCGGCAACCACCACCACCUCCGGCGACCACCAUAAAAUCACCACCAGAAAAUAUAAAAAUCACCAUCGGAAAACUAAAAAUCACCGCCAGAAAAUCAAAAAUCAACAACAGAAAAUUAAAAUCACCACACCACCACCAUCUACAAACAACCACCACCACCCCCUAAAUCCGAAAACCCACCAACUACAAAAUAAAAUCACUGCUGGAAAAAUAAAAUCAGUGCUGAAAAAAUGAAAAUCACCACCAAAAUUAGAAUCACUAAAAUACAAAUUACCAUCACCAAAAUUACCACCAGAUCAUAAAAAAACAAAAGUGAAAUCACUAAAACUUAAACCACCAUCGUUUACAAAUCCUGUUAUACACCAAUGGAGUUUUUCAGAUCUGAUUUUCAAUCGAGGAGAUAAAAAGAAAAUAAAACGAAGGAAAGUAUGUAUGUGUAUACGUGUGUGAGUUCGCCGGAAAAGAUGGAGGAGGGAGGCGGAAGAAAAGACGCAACGGCGCGAGAGAGAUGAGGAGGUGGUGAUCCACCGCCGCGGUGCUGGAAGUCGCGGGUGGGACGGAGUCGCGACGUACAGCGGAGAGAGAGAGAGAGAGAGAGAGAGAGAGAGAGAGAGAGAGAGGAAAAAAAUAAGUUAGGGGAAAAAGAAAGAGAGACUGGGUGGGCCUGAUGGCAAUGUUAGGUGGUGUUGGGAGUUGAAUGAAGGAAAUGAAUUGUAAAAUAAAGGUUUAAACGUGUGGUUGUGAUUUAAUUAGGGAAUAAAUAAGUGUGGCUGAGAUUAGAUCUCAUAUCUCACAUUAAUUGGGGUUCUCAUUUGAGCAAGACCCUAUAUAUAUAUAUAUAUAUAUAUCUCUUAACUAGAAAUAUAUAUAUAAAGAAUUUUAUAUAAAUCAUCUUUAAAAAUUUUGUGGUAUGUAAUUGUAAUUAUUUAAAUUUGACCCGUGUUAAAUCACUAAAUUUUGAACGGUCUUUUUUGUAUUACUAGACAAAUUUAAAAAAAUUUAUUUUUGUAUAUUAUAUUUUCAGGAAUUCUCUUCAAAUAAAAAGAGAUAAUAUAAAUUUUGUACUUUUGUCUACCGAACAUGAUGUGACUAUGUGUGACAUAUUUGAUGCGUACGUCAGACUGCACAAAUUUUAAUUUGGGCCUCUUCUAAAUUAAACGGACUAAUUUUAAUUUGGGCCUCCUCUGAAACGGACUACUUUCUUUUUUUUUGAAAAAUACCUGAUGUAUACAAAAUUUUGUAAAUAUAUAAUGACACAUGUGGUGAGUUUUAAUUGAAAUGAGACCUCUGUAUUUACAUAAAAAACCCAAUUAAACUUACGACAUCAAUUGCCAUGUCAUUAUAUGUACAAAUUUUUUUUGAUAAUUAGAAGAUUCAUUAAAAACCAUAGAUAUUCCCUUACAAGCAAGACACCAUAUCCACCUAGUACCCUGCAUAACCUAAACUUAACUAGCUAGAAUAGAACUGAUACUAAGAAAGAAGAUAUAGUUGUUAUGGAACCAUGCAGUCAGCGAGCAUGCUAGCAGCUUCAAACUUUUCCCACUCUGCAAGAACGUCAGCCACGUCCAGCGAACUAGGAAUUCUUCUUGUGAUUUGACCUGAUCACAAUAAACGCCUCCUGGUAAUCGGUUUCAAAGUGAAUCUUCUUGCAGUACUCCCUCUUGGAGCACUCUACUGUUGCCAUUUGAAUGCCCCAUAAUACAGCUAACAGCCUGGGUAUGAGUCAUUCUAUGAAACGAACUAAUUCUAUGUGUCCAAGAUAAGGCCCUGUCAGAUAAAUCCAGGCCAGGCCGCCUUAAAUUGUUAAACUACAAAGAAACUCGGUCCACUUGGACAUUUUCAAAUCAGGAUGGGAUCAUGGGACUGAUUAUGGUUCAAAUUAUUAUUUUUAAUUUGUUAACAAAAAUAAAAAUUAUAAUUAUAAUUUAUGAAAAUAAAAUUAAAAAAAUAAUGAUUAUAAUGAUACAAUGAAAGUGUUUAAAAUUAUUUACCAAUAAUCGAAUGAUUUAUAUUUCAAAAUAGGGAGAGUAUUUCAACAAUUUGCAUGAAAAGAAACCAAAUUAUUUAGAUAACAAUUAUCAAAAAAAUAAAUUAUAUAAAUAAAUUUACAUGUCACAUAUUAAUUAGAUUGAAACUUGUAUUUAUAACUUUUUGUUUAAAAAAGAAUGAUAUGUAUAAUUAUUUUAAAAUUUAUAUCAAUCCAAUUUAAAAUAUAUAUUUAACAUCAAAUAAUAUAUACUUCAUAAAAUUUACAUAGAGGAGCUAUGAUCCAAUAAAUAUGUAUGUUGAGUUUACUUUUUGCGAGCAAGCUUUUAACUUUUCAGUUAAAAAUUCAUAACAAUAUUGGGUAUGUUCGUGGGAAGUCAAGUUUAAUCUCUGAAUAAGUAUGCGGCCAGUACUGGCUUGCCGUUUGUCGUUCACAAAUAAGAAGGCGAACAUAUUUACUUAUAAGUUCUUCAUUUUACCUCUGCUAGGUGAGCAUAUGCAAUAGUAUAUUUUGGGAAGUGGAAUUAUAUACGGUAAUAUUAAAUUUGUAAAUUAACGUCUUUGAUGCAGUUGAAUUUCUUUAGACCCGACUUUACCAUCUAUGGUAACAAGCCUCCUCUGCUCUAAAGCCAUCAAGCGGAAGAGGGAGUCUACCAGUACAGGUGCUUUCAUUUUGCAUGCAAGCAAAUUCAGUUCCCAAGUCCCUGCAGAGAACUUCAAUGUCGGACAGAUCUCGUACAAGUAGAAAUCAGGAGCUCCUAGGAGGAUUAUAUGUUCGAUGAAUGCCCCAUAUUCAGAUGGGACGAUUUAUUAACAAAAACAUCAUAAUCUGCUGUUUAUGGACAUAUAUAUUUUUUAUAAAAAAACAAACAAACCUCCAUGUGAGCGAUACUGCAGCUUAUGUUCCUAUGGUCGGGUAACAGUUGCAUCGGUGAAUAGCUUUCAACUAGUUGGAACAUCAGAUUCAAGCCAGCCAGGAGAGGAAGGCGAAGAGGAACCUUUUCUCCCUGCUAUUUGAUUUUAAGCAUUUGCUAAUUGUCAAACCAAUUUACUCUGUAACUGUUGAUUGCUCAUACACACUUGUCGUGACACAGGUUAGUUUUAUCCUUCAGAGAGAAACUCAACACUUUCUGCUCGUCUCUUUUGCUCAAAUGUAUACAUUACAUUGUGAUAACUGCUUUGUGUGAAUGCAGAUUGUGACAUGAGUACGAAAUUAGUGCCCGCUGAUCUUAAAUGAAUUUCUGCACUGUACCCUAGUUUUUCUUAGAAUGGAAAUUUCGGCAAUGUCAAGAGGAAGAGCUGUGAUGGUUAUCAGCAAGAGAGGUUGCAAUAAACUACUCAGAGGAAAUGGUGAAUAAUUCUUGUCUAUAAAAUUGUAUAUACAAAAAGUACUGAGGUUUUACAUCAAAAAACUUAAAAAAUUAAAAACGGGAUAUCAGGACUCUUGGAACUUUCAAACUAUACUGGAUUACUAGAAAAGCCCCAUCAGGGGAACACAGCAAUUCUGCAGAUAACUACCACUCCAGUAGGACGAGUACCAGAGCCUCUCAUGUAAAGCUGACCCAAACAUAAAGGUUCGAGACUCGGGCUGAAAAUUCAUUUAGACUUGCAAACUUCAGAGACGAACUCAAAUUCCUCAUUAUAUAAAGAUGUUUAUUAAUCCAUUUUACUAACCUAACCGCCAAUUUAAAUCACCCUUAUAUCCUUUUUUAACUUUGUCAGUUUUAUUCAAAAUUAGAAGAAAAUAAAUAGAUGAUUCGUUAAAUAUGUUUUAUCCAAUACACAUCUUGUUCUGCUAGCUUAGAGAUCGCAUUUAAACAAUAAAAAUUACUGCAUAUGACUCGUGCAACAGAUUAUCAAACUGACUUAAGCACAAAUCAGACAACAUAUUAACUGGCCAGGUUAUACGCAAAUAACCUUUCAGCCUUGGUUGCAAGUUACGACUUGUGUUUCAGACAGAUCAAUAAACUGAGCAUCUUCUGGCGGAUAUCAAGCUUCGUGAUUUGAUAUUCUAGUGCACAUCAACUCAUCAAGCUUUGUCUAGCAUCUCCAUUAGCAAAUCUCUUAAUUCUUCUUAUCUGCAAGAUUCCUCCACCAGCCAUAACCCGAAAUUUAAUAUUAAGAUAUCAUACUUAUUGUAAUCAAAAUAUCUACUGCCUAUGUAAUUAAAAUAGGAAAAAAAACUACGAUAAAAGUUACAAGCAAAAGGUCAAAAGCUUAUGGCACUGGCAAACAAAUAUAAAGAACAAAAUUCAGACGGGUGCAUCAUCAAGAUUCUGUAUGUUCUCAACGUAAUGCAUCUACAAAUUAGUGUAUGUACAAGGUAUAACAUACUUAAAUCCACACAACACAAGCCACGGGGAGCUGAAUGGGAGAGAAACAAGUUCUUACUUUAAAAGGAAUCAAAGUGAUAAAUUACUUGUCCCGCAUUUAACAUUCUUGAAUCACAAAACCUACAUAUAAAUUGCCCCAUAUCUUAGAAACAUGACUAACCUCAACAAACCAUUGAUUCAGGACUCACAGCAUUCAUUCGCAGCUAAAACUUCACUAGCAGUCAACCUGCAUUUCCAAUCCUAUAUCAAACAAAGAUUUAGCAGAGAUACAUUUGUAUCCUGACAACACAAUUUCUUAAUUACUUUUAUAUCACAGAUUUACGGCAUAGGUUAAUAGAUGGCAGCUUUUGAAUAUCCCAACCAAGCACCUUGCAAAUGACUACCCAGCAGCAUGUUUUUUUGUUUUCCAGUUGUGUUAACCGUAAAAUGUUAAAUUUAACAGAAUGAGGUACUAUUCAAUACAAAGAUAAUGUUAGUGACUAAAAAAGGGCACGCUUAAGUUUACCACCGGUAAGCUUGGAAACAAGUAUAAUAGUUGAGUGAUAAAAAAUUGAUUUUCCUUACAAAUAUAAACUAUUUUUUAGAAAUUAAGCCUUGAUUUAUAGACUUUCUGGGUCUCUCAACAAGCCAUUGUUUCUGCGAGUAAACUCAAACAUAUUUUUGUUGUGUCCUGAACCUGAAACUAUGCAUGCUUGUUUGUAUAGGCGGUCUCUGGAUGAAUGAGGACACUUUUGUGGAAAAUUUACCAACGUAUCCGCUAUUUUCACAGAUUUUUUUUCCUGUCUCUGUUUUUAAAUACUUCACAUUCUAAGAGUUUUGACCGCAUACUUAAAAUUUUUUAUUUUAAUUUUUUUAAAUAAAAAUUUAUACUUUAAUACCAAAAAAAAUAAAAAUAUUAACUCUGGUUAUGUAUUCAAUGCACUUAAAAAUACUAUGUGCCCAAAGUCAAAGGUCAAGUAUUUAAAAACAUAGUGAGUAUAUUAGAGUUGAGAUUUGAAGACAUGUCUUAAUAUUAAUUUUAAAAUCAUCGAUCUACAUAUUAAUCCAGUUAAAUCCCCACAGUUUACUAUAUUUCUACUUUUUUAUAUUUUUUUGUCAAUUUUAUUUUAAAACUUUGUUAGUAAGACUUAAAUAAUAUAUCUCCUUUGUACGGUUAAUAGUAAAUUCAUUAAACUUUAAAAAUUAUAACUGCACUCAUUAUAAAACCAAGUUGAACAGAACUUACAUGAAUAUUGACUAGAUCUUCAAGCUUAUGUUUCCAUGUUACAACUUGUGUUUUUGACAAAUCACUAAAAUGUAACUAAACUACAAACUAUUACACAUGAUCAGCUAUUCUAAGACAUAUCAAGCUUCGUCUAGCAUCUUCGUUUCCUCUGCAGUGCCAUCAAUCUCUUCCUCUUCCACAUCUUCCGCAUCAUUUGGCCUUAUGUUCAUAUUUGCAAUGAUCAACCGACAUUUCUCGGCCAAUCUUCUCGGCUAUUUUUUUGUAGUUUUUCCAUAUAUCAGAUACUCUAAAAUAUUUUUAUUCUUAUUUAAUUUGGUCGGUUACUUUUCUGUAACUCUCCUGCCCAUUGUUAUAUAUAGCUUAUAGCCAGAAUUACUUUACAUCCAACACAACUCAGGAUUUCAGCCAUUUCAGUUUUCAAAACCACAAUCCAGAGAUUUUUCGGUGAGAAAUUCAGAGAAGAAACCAAGAUGACUACGGAAAUGUGGACGAGUUUUGGGUCUCUGCUCGCCAGCCUCAUGUUCAUAUUUGCCAUGAUCAACCAACACUUCUCGGGCAAUCUUCUCGGCUAUUUUCUGUAGCCGCUCAUCCAGAAAUCUUUGUCGUAUUUCAACCCGUACAUCGAGAUCACGUUCCAUGAGUAUUCCCGGGACAGCUUCGAUCGAAGCUUGGCUUACGUCUCGAUUGAGCGUUAUCUGGCUGUCAAGUCUUCGGCGACAGCCACGAGACUCAAGGCCAACUCGGUCCGAGACAGCGAACGCCUGGUGCUCAGUAUGGACGACUACGAAGAGAUCGUGGACGAAUAUCAAGGGAUCAACUUCCUCAUAGCCGCCGCCACCACCGCCCUUCUUCCCCUUCUUUUUCAUAUUUUUCGGUUUCGUCCCCUGAACACCAAGUGAGAGCCUAAUCAGCUUACUAUUCAAAUUACCAUGUCUCACACUCUCCGCGUUACUUUGUAAAUAUGGUUGCACAUUCGACACACGACCCGAAUAACCAGAACCAUUUGAAUCACAAUCCUCGAUGGAACCAUGAGACCUAUGAUCAUGGUUCAAGAUAGGAAUUGAUGGGUCAUUGUUCGGGUAAAGUGAACCGGGUCUGGGGUUGAAACCGGGUCUAUUGUUGAAACUAUUAGGGUUUGCAAUUGAACAAAUUGGGUGAACUGAAGGGGAGUUUGAAUUGAAAAUGGGGGGCUGGGGGAGACAAUUAGUGUUUAAAACAUGAUGAACUAGGUAAAUUGAAUGGGGAUUAGGAUUGAAAAUUGGGCGAUUGGGGAUGAAACUAGGGUUUAUAAUUUGGGGAUUUGGGUUUUGAGUAGGGUGUUGAAGAGGAGGGUCUUGACGAGGGAGAGAAUGGAGGUGCCUCAUGUCAUGAUUUAGAAGAUGAAGAUUAGUUGUUUUCUU